AUGGAGUUAGCCAUGGCCGCCGCCUACACCUCGCGCCUGGGCCUGUCCCCCGCCGCGCACCCGUACGACGACGCAUCCGUGGCCUGCGCCCUCGGCCAGCUCUACUCCACCAAGGAUCCGUUCGCCCUGCCGGUCAGCUGCCUCCUCCCGCCUCCCGAGCUGCCGCCGGCCUUCGGGUUGCCCGUCGGCGGCCUCGCCCCCGUCUGCUGCUGCGCCAAAGCCGCGGCGGCGCCCGCGUUCCCGCCCUUUCCAUGGGCGCACGUGCCCUCGCCGCCAGCGCCGCCGCGCUGCGCCAUCACGGAGAUCGACGAGUCCCGGGAGGUGGAGUCGGAGGACAACCUCUCCCCUCGCUCCGUCCUCACGCCCUGGAGGAGGCCGACGCCCGCCUCGGCGCUGUCUCCGCCUCCGCCUCUUGUGGUCGGGGGAAAACGGGCCUUCGACCCAAGCAGCGAGAAGACUUCUCUGAUGAUCUGCAAUAUCCCCAACGGAUUCGUGAAGCGGAGGUUCAUGGCGAUUCUGGACCAGCAUUGCGUCCAGGAGAACGACAAUCCUGAAUGGCGUGUCGUUGGUGGUGGCAAGUUCGUGAGGUCGGAGUAUGACUUCCUCUACAUCCCAAUAGACUUCAGGACGAAGUACAACAAAGGCUAUGCGUUCGUCAACAUGACGACGGCGACCGCGGCACGGCGGCUCCACGCGUUUCUGCACGGGCACCGCUGGGCCCUGGCAGGCUCUCGGAAGGUGUGUGAGGUCGUGCAUGCGGACAUACAGGGGGUGGAUGCUUUGUCAGCUCACUUCUCCUGCUCCAAGUUCCCCUGCGGUAACAAGGAGUUCCUGCCGGUGCGCUUCGGCCCGCCACGGGAUGGCCUCCGGCCGACGGUGGAGCGUGUGAUUGGCCGCACGCUGGUCCACCGCCCCAGUGACCAAUCCGCCCGCCCCACGCCGCAUGCUGCACAAAGAGGAGGCAAAUCGAAACCUGCUGCAGUGGGGAACAAAACUGUUUGA
rnacentral:rRNA from 1 species